AAAGCUCGCCUCUUUCUGCGUAAAUUGGGAAGAAGAACCCAAUAACAAACACUAACCCGAGUAGUAGAAAAAGCAAAAGCUUGGUCUCCGGCGCCAAAUUUAAAGAUUGUUCAUAUUGACAACUUGUCCGGGGCUUCAACCAUAUCGUUUUCUUUUGCAUUGGAUCGUGGACUCAUUUGGGAGUCAGCGUAUGCGUUGCUUGAAGAGAAG